UUCUGAGAUAAGAUGACCCACUUGGAUGGGUGAAAGGCUGUGGAUGUGCCUACCCAGACUUCAGGAAAGCCUUUGCCACCAUCUCCCACAGCAUCUCCUGCAGGAACUGGCUGCUCAUGGCCUGCCCGGCUGCUCUCUUGGAUGGGCAGGAAACUGUAGCCAUGGCCGGGCCCAGAGGCUGCUGGUGAAUGGAAUUCCAUCCAGCAGUGCUCCCCAGGGCUCAGGGCUGGCACCAGUUUACAGAAGCUAACCCUGUAAUUCUUCUAACAGGACUCUACUCUUGGAUUUCCCAAAGCAGUAUAACAUAGUUACAACAGGAAUUUCUGCUGCAGAACAGCAGUGCAGAUGGAAACAUUUCACAGUGAUGUGGAAUGCAGCAUUUUUCUUUGUGCCAAGUUUGCCAGUUCUAACUCACUACACCAUCUCAAGUCUAACAGUCAUGAACUCUACCUUCCACUGUCCAGUA